CAGACACACAAAGAAUCAGGACACACAAGUCUGAUCAAGAGUUACAUGCAAGGCUGAGAGAACAGGAGAGAAGAUCCGAGCUGAUCCAGCGGAUUUGGAUCUGUCUGUGGGACAGGAAGCUCCCAAUCACCCAGCUCCUCCUAUACAGCCAGCAGCACAUGAUCCAACAACAAAAGGUCCUUCCUCCUCUUCCUCCUCCUCCUCCUCCUCCUUCUCCUCCUCUAUCUUGUUUAGUACCAGUGUCAAAGAAAGCCAACCCAUCUGACCCCAAUGACUUUAGACCUGUUGGCCACAUGUUUGGCAUAUCUAGGACCACAGGUGAAACCCAGUCUGGACCCUCUUCAGUUUGCCUUCCAGCCUCAGGUGGAUGUAGAUGAUGCUGACACCUGGAUGGACUCGUCUCUAUACUUGUCCUGUUAGAUCUUAGUGCUGCAU